ensembl:lncRNA
AUUGUGUUUCAUCUCUUAAUGAAAUGCUGUUCUCCACGCACAUCACAGACCCUGGGAGUGUUGGGUAUUGCUACCUGCCAAAGGCCUGAAGUGUGCACUACUGCUGGUGGUGGGAUUGUCAGAAGGUGAGGAGGCCAUCCUGAUAGAGAGACAGUGUAGGAAUCCCAGAAACAACAGCCAUGUUGCUGCAUGUGGCUAACCAUCGUUGAUUUUGCAUGUCAGUUUCUAAGCCGAUAUCACCAACUAUGACUCUGACAUCCAAUGAAGCAGUCGAGGGCCAUGAUGCUUUUCUGACUGAGGCAACACAGCCUGGAGCCCAAAUCCCGAGGCUGUGCACCAAAGUCCUUCCGUUUGUCACUG